AAAGUACUCCCUCCGUCCCAAAAUUCUUGUCUUAGAUUUUUCUAGAUACGGAUGUAUCUAGUCACAUUUUAGUAUUAGAUACAUCCGUAUCUAGACAAAUCUAAGACAAGAAAUUUGGGACAGAGGGAGUAGUUG
rnacentral:pre_miRNA from 1 species